GACAGAGGGUGCAAACGUUGUUCGGAAUUACUGGGCGUAAAGCGCGUGUAGGCUGCUUCGAAAGUCGGAUGUGAAAGCCCUGGGCUCAACCUAGGAAGUGCAUUCGAAACUUCGAGCUGGAGUCCUGGAGAGGAAGGCGGAAUUCUCGGUGUAGAGGUGAAAUUCGUAGAUAUCGAGAGGAACACCGGUGGCGAAGGGCGGCCUUCUGGACAGUGACGUGACGCUGAGACGGCGAAAGCGUGGGAGCAAACAGGG
rnacentral:rRNA from 1 species